rnacentral:rRNA from 1 species
AAAUUGAAGAGUUUGAUCAUGGCUCAGAUUGAACGCUGGCGGCAGGCCUAACACAUGCAAGUCGAACGGUAACAGAAAGCAGCUUGCUGCUUUGCUGACGAGUGGCGGACGGGUGAGUAAUGUCUGGGAAACUGCCUGAUGGAGGGGGAUAACUACUGGAAACGGUAGCUAAUACCGCAUAACGUCGCAAGACCAAAGAGGGGGACCUUCGGGCCUCUUGCCAUCGGAUGUGCCCAGAUGGGAUUAGCUUGUUGGUGGGGUAACGGCUCACCAAGGCGACGAUCCCUAGCUGGUCUGAGAGGAUGACCAGCCACACUGGAACUGAGACACGGUCCAGACUCCUACGGGAGGCAGCAGUGGGGAAUAUUGCACAAUGGGCGCAAGCCUGAUGCAGCCAUGCCGCGUGUAUGAAGAAGGCCUUCGGGUUGUAAAGUACUUUCAGCGGGGAGGAAGGGAGUAAAGUUAAUACCUUUGCUCAUUGACGUUACCC